CCAAUAGCGUAUAUUAAAGUUGUUGCAGUUAAAAAGCUCGUAGUUGAAUUUCGGGAUCAAGUCGUCGGUCGUGCCUCGGUACGCACUGGUGACAUUGGUUUCUCCCUUCUGAAGAACCUUGAUGUCAUUAAUUUGGUGUCUUGGGGAAUCAGGACUGUUACUUUGAAAAAAUUAGAGUGUUUAAAGCAGGCUCACGCUUGAAUACAUUAGCAUGGAAUAAUGAAAUAGGACGUUUGAUUCUAUUUUGUUGGUUUCUAGGAUCGACGUAAUGAUUAAUAGGGAUAGUUGGGGGCAUUAGUAUUCAAUUGUCAGAGGUGAAAUUCUUGGAUUUAUUGAAGACUAACUACUGCGAAGGCAUUUGCCAAGGAUGUUUUCAUUAAUCAAGAACGAAAGUUAGGGGAUCGAAGACGAUCAGAUACCGUCGUAGUCUUAACCAUAAACUAUGCCGACUAGGGAUCGGAUGAUGUUAAUUUUUUAAUGACUCAUUCGGCGCCUUACG
rnacentral:rRNA from 1 species